CGCCUCCGCGCAGGGGCCGCGCUGCCAGGGCCGGGGGAGCUCUGCUUGCCAGGCUGAACGCCAAGAGGGUACUCGUCGGGUGGCAGAGCUCACCUCCAGCCACAGAGUUCAGGCAACCUCCCGUCAUUUUGCAAUAACCUUUACAUGUUGCGGAGGGGGGGAAAAGUGGCAUAAAAGAGUCAAGCGUGUCAAAGUUCAGGAAAUCGUGCAAGAACUUUCCUAAGAUUCUCGAAGAAAGUACCGCUUCUCCUGAAGAACUAUUUUAUUUCUCAGAGCAGGGAAGGAGAGAUUUCUAGGAAAUGCAUAUUUUGAACCUAUGAUGGUUCUUUGGGUUAAAUGGGAACCAGGCUCUGAAUAGUUUAAUACUGACUUAUCAAUGAAAGAUGAUUUUUUUUUUUUUUCCAGAGAGAACAACCCGAUGUCUCAGAAAUCUUACGUCGUUCUUAGCCACUGUAUACAAAUUUUGGAGAGUUUCCUGGCAAAUUACAGCAGCAUCCUACAGCAAGCUGACAAAGAGAUUCCAGGAAUGCCACGCAUCUAGGAGGGAAACACGAAUCCGUCUCUUUAGCCUGAAGCACGAAAUUGGCUUAAAGCUCAUUUUGCAGAUAACCAGAAACGAAAUCACCAGUGCGUGGACCAGGAAGAAGCACGACUGCAGAGGAGGAAGGAACUUUUCACAUGGUAUCAGGAAAAUAGUAUUGCAUGUAGAGACUGGAGAGAAGAAACUGCACUCGGCAUAUGAGAAGCUGAUAACUGGGCUAUAGAGGGAAAGCUGGAUUUGAUUGGGCAACAGCAGGUAAAAAGGGCAGGGCACAGUGACACAGGGCUCAGCACAUGGGCAGAAGGCUUCAGGGUGGUAUAGAACAAAGCUGUGGAGGGUUUCAGAGACAGGCACAACAGCUGAAUGAUGUCAAAAGUGGUUUUGACCAGCCAGGUAAGAGUUCAGGUUAAGUGCUGAUGUGUCUAGGAAACUUCACUAAGGAAGAAGCUAAAAAUGAACAUGCUGCUCACUACAG
rnacentral:lncRNA from 1 species